rnacentral:rRNA from 1 species
CUAAUACAUGCAAGUCGAGCGGACCGACGGGAGCUUGCUCCCUUAGGUCAGCGGCGGACGGGUGAGUAACACGUGGGUAACCUGCCUGUAAGACUGGGAUAACUCCGGGAAACCGGGGCUAAUACCGGAUGCUUGAUUGAACCGCAUGGUUCAAUCAUAAAAGGUGGCUUUUAGCUACCACUUGCAGAUGGACCCGCGGCGCAUUAGCUAGUUGGUGAGGUAACGGCUCACCAAGGCGACGAUGCGUAGCCGACCUGAGAGGGUGAUCGGCCACACUGGGACUGAGACACGGCCCAGACUCCUACGGGAGGCAGCAGUAGGGAAUCUUCCGCAAUGGACGAAAGUCUGACGGAGCAACGCCGCGUGAGUGAUGAAGGUUUUCGGAUCGUAAAACUCUGUUGUUAGGGAAGAACAAGUACCGUUCGAAUAGGGCGGUACCUUGACGGUACCUAACCAGAAAGCCACGGCUAACUACGUGCCAGCAGCCGCGGUAAUACGUAGGUGGCAAGCGUUGUCCGGAAUUAUUGGGCGUAAAGCGCGCGCAGGCGGUUUCUUAAGUCUGAUGUGAAAGCCCCCGGCUCAACCG